rnacentral:rRNA from 1 species
CAGCAGGCGCGAAACCUCCUCAAUGCACUUACGUGCGAAGGGGCUACCUCGAGUGCCACCUGAUGAAGGUGGCUUUUCCUAGGUCUAAAAAGCCUUGGGAAUAAGAGGGGGGCAAGACUGGUGUCAGCCGCCGCGGUAACACCAGCCCCUCGAGUGGUGGGGAUGAUUAUUGGGCCUAAAGCGUCCGUAGCCUGCCGUGUAAGUUUCCCGUUAAAUCCAGCGUCUUAAGCGUUGGACCGCGGGAAAUACUGUACGGCUAGAGAGUGGGAGAGGUCAGCGGUAUUCUGGGGGUAGGGGCGAAAUCCUUUGAUCCCCGGAGGACCACCAGUGGCGAAGGCUGCUGUCUAGAACACGUCUGACGGUCAGGGACGAAAGCUGGGGUAGCGAACCGGAUUAGAUACCCGGGUAGUCCCAGCCGUAAACGAUGCAUGCUAGGUGUUGGGUUGGCCACGAGCCACCCCAGUGCCGCAGGGAAGCCGUUAAGCAUGCCGCCUGGGAAGUACGAUCGCAAGGUUGAAACUUAAAGGAAUUGGC